rnacentral:lncRNA from 1 species
GGCGCAUAAACGUGUAAACAACCGUUUAACUCUGGGGGAACGUAUUAACAAUAAAAUUCAGAGGUUAAAACCAUGUUAAGAAAAAUAAAGUUCAGAGGUUGCAAGAUCGAGGGGCGCCUGCGACGAAUGUUAUGAUCUCAUGUUUGGAUUAUGCAUGGGUUUCAACCUAAACCUUCUAAUAAAAAAAACAAUAUGGAUCAAAUAUUUAAAUUUCUUGGUAAAAUUCUAGUUUAGUAAUUAUUAUAUUAGUAAUUACCUUUUGUGAUACUAAGAAAUUAGUUGACACCACGUUGUUUUAUAUAUGAUCUAGGACCUCUUAUUAAAAUUCUACGCAGGAAACCAUAUAAUAAUUGAUGCUAUUAGGGAAGAGAAGCAAAUCUCAAGAAUCCAAGAGAUAAUCUUCUUAUUUUUUCCAUCGAAAAAGAAGAAGCGAGAUUGGUGAGUUGUGUAGAUGUUGAAAUUAAAUAAAGUAUGUAUAUAUGUAUAUUUAUAAGCUUUAUAA